CAGUGCGUUCGGUUUGAAGCAUGUCAGAGACUCCCCUUGGGAUAACAAGCCUGGAGGAUCUGAGACCUGAGAGAUGAAGACCAGACAAGCCCACCCUGUUUGGUAUAGGUGGCUCCAGGCAACAGUGGUCCAGCUGGUAGCAGAACAGUUGCAGUGUAUAGAGCAUGGAAGACCCCUGGAAGAUCUUGCAUACGUACAUCCAAGGGCACGUGUAUGCCUAGUUGAGAACCACUGCUUCAGAGGACCUGAGUAUCCUGGUCAGGCAUGGGAUUUGUGGGAUGGGAUGGGGAUAGGGAGAGACCUGGUGGGACUGUCGUCGCUUACCAGUGCUGAUCACUUCAAGCACUGGCUAAGCUGGAGGGGAAUUAGGGGACGGGGGUUCCAGGAAACAGAAGCCAGGUGACCUGACCCUGUGUGUCCUCCACAUACAAAUGCUGGCCUAGGCUAUAAGUGUUCUUGCUUUCUAUACUCAGUUCCUAAUGACACUGGGUAGAUGAGAGAAUGGCCAACCUGGGACAGAGACCAGGAGAAGGAACAACCACCCUGAGCCCAUUCAGCAGAAUGGAAACCAGACUCUGAUCUGUGGUGUAGGCGCAAAUGGAAAUUUGCUUAAUCUAAGUAUUGAGAGGGCUGCAAAUGUUGUCUGUGGAGAGACAUUUGUUAUAUUAGCAUAGGCUGAGUCCAUGAGAAAAAAGUCCAUGAAUCUGACUGGGACAUGUGAAGGUUGGGGGAGCUCUUGCUUCCCUCUCAGCGAGUUGUCAGGGCUCAGGGAAGGGAAAGUAAUAGUUUUCCUGAAAUAUGAUUAACUUCCAGGAGGGCCAGAGAUGUAACCAGAGAUGUUCAAUCCUCAGCUCUCUUCCUUCCAUGUCACUGGGUCUGAGUAACUGGUCACUGCACGCUGUUCCUUGUUUGUACUGACUCUAGCCUCCUUCGGAAGAUGUGAGCAUUCUGGUGAGGUACAAACCUCUCUGGGAUAAAGGCAAGGUGAAGGGACAAUAGUCUGCUGUGCAGCAUGAGUACUUUGGGUCCAGGAGCAGCCAAGUGUCUCUUUAUUUAGCUAUUACUGUCUUGGGUGAGUGGAGGGGUGUAUGUAGGAAAAAUCCCUUGGAAUAGCAAGUACCUGCGCUAAAUACCAUUGCAGUAUCUGCCCACUUUCUUCUUGG